UUCCAGGUGUAGGAGUGAAAUCCGUAGAUAUCUGGAGGAACACCGGUGGCGAAGGCGGCCACCUGGACGGUAACUGACGCUGAGGUGCGAAAGCGUGGGUAGCAAACAGGAUUAGAUACCCUGGUAGUCCACGCUGUAAACGAUGGGUGCUGGGUGCUGGGAUGUAUGUCUCGGUGCCGUAGCUAACGCGAUAAGCACCCCGCCUGGGGAGUACGGUCGCAAGGCUGAAACUCAAAGAAAUUGACGGGGGCCCGCACAAGCGGUGGAGUAUGUGGUUUAAUUCGAUGCAACGCGAAGAACCUUACCCAGGCUUGACAUCUAGGGAACCCUUCGGAAAUGAAGGGGUGCCCUUCGGGGAGCCCUAAGACAGGUGCUGCAUGACUGUCGUCAGCUCGUGCCGUGAGGUGUUGGGUUAAGUCCCGCAACGAGCGCAACCCCUAUCUUCAGUAGCCAGCACGCAGAGGUGGGCACUCUGGAGAGACUGCCAGGGACAACCUGGAGGAAGGUGGGGAUGACGUCAAAUCAUCAUGCCCCUUAUGGCCAGGGCUACACACGUGCUACAAUGGCGUAAACAGAGGGAAGCGAGCCCGCGAGGGGGAGCAAAUCCCAAAAAUAACGUCCCAGUUCGGACUGCAGGCUGCAACCCGCCUGCACGAAGCUGGAAUCGCUAGUAAUCGCGAAUCAGCAUGUCGCGGUGAAUACGUUCCCGGGUCUUGUACACACCGCCCGUCACACCAUGGGAGUCGGUAACGCCCGAAGUCAGUGACCCAACCUCCGGGAGGGAGCUGCCGAAGGCGGGACCGGUAACUGGGGUGAAGUCGUAACAAGGUAACCA
rnacentral:rRNA from 1 species